rnacentral:rRNA from 1 species
UUUCGCAAUGCCCGAAAGGGUGACGAAGCGACGCCGCGUGUGGGAAGAAGGCCUUCGGGUUGUAAACCACUGUCGGGAGUUAGGAAAUGUAAGGGUGCUAAUAGUAUCCUUACUUGACUAAGGCUCCGGAGGAAGCCACGGCUAACUCUGUGCCAGCAGCCGCGGUAAUACAGAGGCGGCAAGCGUUGUUCGGAAUUAUUGGGCGUAAAGAGCACGUAGGCGGCCUUGUAAGUCAGUUGUGAAAGCCUUCUGCUUAACGGAAGAACAGCAGCUGAUACUGCAAGGCUAGAGUGCGGAAGGGGAGAGUGGAACUUCUGGUGGAGCGGUGAAAUGCGUAGAUAUCAGAAGGAACACCGGCGGCGAAGGCGACUCUCUGGUCCGUAACUGACGCUGAGUGUGCGAAAGCUAGGGGAGCAAACGGUAUUAGAUACCCCGGUAGUCCUAACCGUAAACGAUGGGCACUAAGUAGAGGGGUUUUA